ACAGGACGCCUUAGAGGGUGAGAGCCCCGUACGGUUGAAUGCCUAGCCUCUGUAAAUCUCCUUCGACGAGUCGAGUAGUUUGGGAAUGCUGCUCUAAAUGGGAGGUAAAUUUCUUCUAAAGCUAAAUAUUGGCCAGAGACCGAUAGCGCACAAGUAGAGUGAUCGAAAGAUGAAAAGCACUUUGAAAAGAGGGUUAAAUAGCACGUGAAAUUGUUGAAAGGGAAGGAUUUGUGACCAGACUUUUUCUGGGCGGAUCAUCCGGGGUUCUCUCCGGUGCACUUUGCCCAGUAAAGGCCAGCAUCGAUUUUCGGCGGCGGAUAAAAGCAGUGGGAAUGUGGCUCCCUACGGGGAGUGUUAUAGCCCAUUGUAUAAUACGCUGCUGGGGAUCGAGGUACGCGCUUCUGCAAGGAUGCUGGCGUAAUGGUUAUCAAUCACCCGUCUUGAAACACGGACCAAGGAGUCGAACAUUUAUGCGAGUGUUUGGGUGUUAAACCCUCACGCGUAAUGAAAGUGAACGGAGGUGAGAGCCCGUACGGGUGCAUCAUCGACCGAUCCUGAAGUUUUCGGAUGGAUUUGAGUAAGAGCAUAACUGUUCGGACCCGAAAGAUGGUGAACUAUGCGUGGAUAGGGUGAAGCCAGAGGAAACUCUGGUGGAGGCUCGCAGCGGUUCUGACGUGCAAAUCGAUCGUCAAAUCUGCGCAUGGGGGCGAAAGACUAAUCGAA
rnacentral:rRNA from 1 species